UACGAAGGGGGCUAGCGUUGCUCGGAAUCACUGGGCGUAAAGGGUGCGUAGGCGGGUCUUUAAGUCAGGGGUGAAAUCCUGGAGCUCAACUCCAGAACUGCCUUUGAUACUGAAGAUCUUGAGUUCGGGAGAGGUGAGUGGAACUGCGAGUGUAGAGGUGAAAUUCGUAGAUAUUCGCAAGAACACCAGUGGCGAAGGCGGCUCACUGGCCCGAUACUGACGCUGAGCACGAAAGCGUGGGGAGCAAACAGGG
rnacentral:rRNA from 1 species